AGGCACAUGUGGCUGGGAACAAACUCCGAGAUGAGAUGUUCCGUCUUUGCAAGCACAAAAGAGGAAGCACAAUUAAUAAACAAAGCAAUUUUUCACUGGAAAUGGCUGAAACUCGGACUGGAUUGAGUGUCUUUGAACAUUAAUAUUCAAGUCUUGCCACAGAUUCUUAAUUGGAUUGGGUCCUUACUGUGACUAGGCCAUUCUAUCACGUGAAAAAGCUUUGAUCCAAACCAUUAGACUGCAGCUUUCACUCCAUGUUUAAGGUUGUUGUCCUGCUGGAAGACAAACUUCGGCUUCAGAUUCAAGUCUUUUGUGCCAUCCAACAGGUUUUCUUCCAGGAUUACAGUAUUUAUGGUUCAGUAUUCAAAUAUACACCUGUUAGUGGAUUUCCAAAUGCAAAUUAUUCACAAAGAUUCACCUACUAGCCUAUUUUCUGAACAGUUUAUCCAUAAUGUUCAAAGAAGGGUAUACAUAAAUGCAUGAUAUGUUGUUUUUUUUAAUAAGAAAUGUAACAAAAAAGUAUAAUUUUCUUAUCUUUCACAAUCAUGCAACUAUUUUGUGUUGUUCUAUCUCAUAUGUUGAGAGUUGACACAGUAAAAAGGUUUAAUGGGUAUAAAUA